rnacentral:rRNA from 1 species
UUCGGAGCGAAGCGCAGAACUUAAGCCCCAGUAAACGGCGGUGGUAACUAUAACCAUCCUAAGGUAGCGAAAUUCCUUGUCGGGUAAGUUCCGACCUGCACGAAUGGAGUAACGACUUGGGCGCUGUCUCAACCAGGGACUCGGCGAAAUUGCACUACGAGUAAAGAUGCUCGUUACGCGCGGCAGGACGGAAAGACCCCGGGACCUUUACUACAGCUUGGUAUUGGUGUUUGGUUCAAUUUGUGUAGGAUAGGUGGGAGACUGUGAAGCGGUCACGCCAGUGGCUGUGGAGUCAACGUUGAAAUACCACUCUGAUUGUACUGAACAUCUAACUUCGGACCGUGAUCCGGUUCAGGGACAGUGCCUGGUGGGUAGUUUAACUGGGGCGGUUGCCUCCCAAAGAGUAACGGAGGCGCCCAAAGGUUCCCUCAGCCUGGUUGGCAAUCAGGUGUCGAGUGUAAGUGCACAAGGGAGCUUGACUGUGAGACUGACACGUCGAACAGGUGCGAAAGCAGGGACUAGUGACCCAGCGGUGGCUUGUGGAAGCGCCGUUGAUCAUCGGAUAAAAGGUACCCCGGGGAUAACAGGCUGAUCCUGCCCAAGAGUCCAUAUCGACGGCAUGGUUUGGCACCUCGAUGUCGGCUCGUCGCAUCCUGGGGCUGGAGUAGGUCCCAAGGGUUGGGCUGUUCGCCCAUUAAAGCGGUACGCGAGCUGGGUUUAGAACGUCGUGAGACAGUUCGGUCCCUAUCCGCCGCGCGCGCAGGAGACUUGAGAAGGGCUGUCCCUAGUACGAGAGGACCGGGACGGACGAACCUCUGGUGUGCCAGUUGUUCCGCCAGGAGCACGGCUGGUUAGCUACGUUCGGGAGGGAUAACCGCUGAAAGCAUCUAAGCGGGAAGCCUGCUUCAAGAUGAGGUCUCCCACCGGGUUAACCGGGUAAGGCCCCCAGCCAGACGACUGGGUUGAUAGGCCGGAUGUGGAAGCCUGGCAACAGGUGAAGCUGACCGGUACUAAUAGGCCGAGGACUUGCCACA